CGUGAGUCAUUGUAGCAAUACAAGGCAGUCUGCUCAGUAACACGUACCCAAUCUACCCUAUGGACGGGGAUAACCUCGGGAAACUGAGGAUAAACCCCGAUAGAUCAUUAUGCCUGGAACGGUUUAUGGUCCAAAUGAUUCGUCGCCGUAGGAUGGGACUGCGGCCUAUCAGUUUGUUGGUGAGGUAAUGGCCCACCAAGACUAUUACAGGUACGGGCUCUGAGAGGAGUGGCCCGGAGAUGGGUACUGAGACACGGACCCAGGCCCUAUGGGGCGCAGCAAGGCGAGAAAACUUUGCAAUGUGCGAAAGCACGACAAGGUUAAUCCGAGUGGUUUCUGCUAAGGAACCUUUUGCGGUCCUAAAAACACUGUUGAAUAAGGGGUGGGCAAGUUCUGGUGU
rnacentral:rRNA from 1 species